GGGGAUGUGGUUUAGUGGUAUAAUGCCUCUUUAGCAUUGGAGCCUCUCAUUGUCGUGAGAUGGUCUACUAGCUAAGGUAGAGGCGGUCCGGGGUUCGAUUCCCCGCGUCUCCA